AAGAACACGAGUGACUAUGCCCAUUGUCACUGCUCAGAAGUGUUCUGGAAUCUUGUUUCCCGCCCUGAAAUAAGUUGAUGGCAGUUAUGGCAUGGGCUGAUCUACCCAGUCAGCAAGGCCAGAUUGCAGAGAAACUCAGAGUCUAGGAAAAUGAAUGUCUAGGAACAUUCCUCAAAUAGUCCUACCAGAAGACACAAAGAUGAUGCAUCCGGAUGAAGAAUAUAUCACUGAGAUUAAUGGCCCUGGGUUGCAGCCAAAAGCAUCUCAGAGGUAGAACACUGUUGCAGAUGGUGAUGUUACCAUUUGAAAGUAAGAAGAAAACUAGUAUCUCUUUACACCAAGAGUAAAAAUAGAGAAGAUGCUUACAAACUGCAACACAUAGAGUUUCUUGAAAUCACAGUUUGGGAGUGGAGGAAAAGGCUGCUUAAGUGUUUGGAAAGGGAGAGUAAGGAUGAAAUAGAGUGGGGGUAUGAUGCAUUUCCUGACUGUGGUCGGCUUUCCAUGGGUGAAACAGAAAAGUCUUCAAAUAUCCUCACCAACUGCUUUCCUAGAUUUUUCAGCCAGUUACUUGACCAUAUUAGGAAAAGAAAGUAAUUGAUUCUGAGAGAAAUUUCUCCAAGGAUUCCUGCAGUUCUCCUUUGAACAUACGAAGAGGGAACAUUCUUUCAGUCCUAGAAGUUGCUGAAGCAGAGAUGGAGAACCCCAGACUGGAGGGCUUUGAUUUCACCCUGCACAUCUAAGGGCAUAAAUUGGUUCCAGGUCAGGAUCAUAUGAGCAUAAGUCUGAGUUGGGUGUCUCUGAUCAUUCCAGAAUUCCAUUGGAAGGCAGACUUAUAUUCCUGAGAAGCAGGAAUGAGAAGCACAGUGGAAUUUUGCAAAGGAAACAGAACUUGAACUCAGCAGUCGUAGGUGCCAGUCCUUGACUAGCUAUAAUAUUGGGCAAGUCAUAUAAAUUCUCCAGGCACAGUGUCCCUUUUGGCAAACAACAGACAGAAUAUAAAUAUGUGUUGCCAGGUCAGUGGACAUUUCAAGGACAGUUUGAUUUUAAUGUGAAGUCAUCUAAUUUUAAAUGCUCUAUUAAAUUUUAUUUUUUUUAGUUGUAUAAGCUUAAGAACAGGUAUCAGACAAGACUUCUUCAGGACAGACAAAGCACUAUUUCAUUUUUUUUUCCUCUGGCCUUCCCAGCUCAGAUUCUCA
rnacentral:lncRNA from 1 species